UACGGAGGGGACUAGCGUUGUUCGGAAUUACUGGGCGUAAAGCGCACUAGGCGGAUUUGUAAGUCAGGGGUGAAAUCCCGGGGCUCAACCUCGGAACUGCCUUUGAUACUGCAAAUCUCGAGUCCGGAAGAGGUGAGUGGAAUUCCUAGUGUAGAGGUGAAAUUCGUAGAUAUUAGGAAGAACACCAGUGGCGAAGGCGGCUCACUGGUCCGGUACUGACGCUGAGGUGCGAAAGCGUAGGGAGCAAACAGG
rnacentral:rRNA from 1 species